UGAUGAAUAAAUUACUGACGUUGCGCCCCACACACCCCCGACACAUGACGCUGCUCAUUACCCGACACGUAGAGUAGUGACGUAUGUGAAACGUGAGCCAGGGGGCGUGUCCUUUGGAUGGAACUAGUUCACGUUUGCAGCGGGGGUGCAGGGAACCAGGCUUUCAGUUGACUCCGAGGCAAACGAGAGGUUGAGAUGGCACUCCGGAAUUUUCUGACGGACUGCAACCAAACUUUUCAAUAUUGUGUGCGGUUAGCCACAUCGGACGAUGAUGAAACGAGACGAGCGUCUUUGGCAAGAAUGCGUACAAUGCAAUCAAGUCUCCGAUGGGCAAGAGGAAGCCUGGUAGAGACGGGCUUGGCUGACCAGCUGCUGGAUGUCAUCGAGGAAUUUUUUCAGGACACCGGAGAAGAUCGACAAAUCCCUGAAUUCGAAUCUGACCAACACUUGUCCAAUUUCCCUGCUUCCAACACAUCAACAACACAACUAACUGUUCACCUGCUGCUUCCUGUGGCAGGGGUCACUGUUACAAAAAAGUUCAUGUUAUUCAGUGUCUCAAGGAUAUCGUGCUCCUCGAAUAAGGCGACGGGUCGGGCAGCCACGUUGUCUGAUCACAGAAGAGCAACUGCAGUUUCUACUCUCAUUUAAUUUCACAGUGCAGCAGAUUGCAGACAUACUGGGUGUCUCAAGACGCACUGUAACACAACGGCUCAGACAACAUAACAUCACCAUCCGUGGUCGCUACUCCAACAUGACCGAUGCCGAGUUGGAUGAGCGAGUCAUUGACCUGGUACACGGAAAUGAUGAGCUUGGCCCAGAUGCUGUGCGUGCACGUCUUUUUGGCGAAGGCAUUGUUGUCCAGAGAAGACGUGUUCGCCAGAGUCUCCUCAGGACCAACCCAGCGGGGGCUGCUCUCAGAGCCAUGUCUCAUAGACUGCAGAGGCGCACAUACAGAGUAGCUGGGCCUAAUUUGUUGUGGCAUCUUGAUGGAAAUCACAAACUCAUCAGGUGGAGAAUCGUUAUCCAUGGAGGAAUUGACGGAUUCAGCCGGAUGAUUGUGCUCCUCCAAGCUGCCAACAACAAUAGAAGCAGCACUGUGAUGGAGCAGUUUGUUCAGACGGUGGACCAAUUUGGUGUCCCCUCUAGAGUACGCUGUGUCCAUGGUGGGGAAAACAAUGCUGUUUGCCUCUUCAUGGACGUUUUUUGAGGGACAGCUCGGGGAAGUGCUUGCCUCUUCAUGGACGUUUUUUGAGGGACAGCUCGGGGAAGUGCUUUGAGAGGAAGGAGCACUCACAACCAAAGAAUUGAGAGACUGUGGAGGGAUGUUUGGAAUGGCCUCUCCAAUGUGUACUAUUCACUCUUCACACUUCUGGAGCAAGAUGGGAUCUUGGACAUAAAUAGUGAAACUCACCUCCGGGCUCUUCACUAUGUGUACAUGCCGAGAAUCGACCGAGACCUGGAGCAUUUUGUGAACCAGUGGAACCACCAUGGACUCAGGACAACGAGAUACAUGUCACCGUACCGAAUGUUUGUGCGUGGAUGCCUCCGUCUACAGUCACAAAAUUUGACUGGUGUUCAAGGGCUUUUCGGGGCAGAUGAGGGGCCAGCAGAGGAGCAGCCAGCAGAGCAAGCGGCGAGACCACCUGUACCCACUUUGAACUGGCCAGAGAGGGUUGCUGUCCCUGCCAAUACGUUUGCUGUUGAGCCUGGUCGCCUCCAAGAACUGCAACAUCGAGUCGACCCUCUGGCUGGCUCCAGAGACGGGAUGGGGGUUGAUCUUCUGGAGGAAGUUCUGAGCUUUCUGUUGUCUUGAGGUAUAAUUAAACUCAGUCUAUUUUGAUUAACAAUAUCAUUGGACAGCAGCCGUACCGGACUGUCUCUACCUCCAUCAUUGAGUCCAUCCUCACCGCCUCCAUCACCAUCUUGUAUCAUCCGCAGGGCCCAAAAGGUGAUCAGCUGCAACCUGCGGUCCCUCCAGGACACUGUCAGUGAGAACCCCCACUGACAGGCACUCUAACCCUCCUUCCCCCAACACCACCCAGUCAUCUGCCCAUUAUGCUGCCAGAUUUUUGCAAACUCUGACAUUGAACUUUUCAUUGUAAUAGUGUAUAUAUAGUUGCAAAUGUAUAGUCUUUUUUCAUUUAUGGUAAUUUUUUAUUUAUGUUCUUGUGUGCAGUACUUUUGUUAAUGGUUUAUUUUUGUAAUUAUUGUUUGACCUGAACACCAAAGCAAAUUCCUUGUAUUUGAAAA